rnacentral:rRNA from 1 species
GAUGAACGCUGACGGAAUGCUUAACACAUGCAAGUCUUUGGCGAAGCUGUGCUUUCCCAGCCUAGCCAAGGCGGACGGGUGAGUAACGCGUAAGGAACUUGCCCUGCAGUCAGGGAUAACAGACGGAAACGACUGAUAAUACCUGGUAAAUUCAGGCGGACUCAUGUCCAGCCUGUUGAAAAGAGAUGCUGCAGGAGAGCCUUGCUUCCUAUUAGCUUGUUGGUGGGGUAACGGCCAACCAAGGCGAUGAUAGGUAGCCGGCCUGAGAGGGUGGACGGCCAGAAGGGGACUGAGAGACGGCGCUUACUCCUACGGGAGGCAGCAGUGAGGAAUAUUGGACAAUGGGGGCAAUCCUGAUACAGCAAUUCGGUGUGAAAGAUGAAGGUGUUCGGAUGGAAAAGUGCUAUCAGAAGGGAAGAAAAAAUGACGGUACCUGCAGAAGAAGCGACGGCUAAAUACGUG